CUGACUUACCUUAGAUCAGGUGACCAUUUUGAACUCCAUCUAUCCUCCCCGUAACCUCCCCAAAUGUCUGUACACAACCUAAGUGUCAGCUAGCAAUUGUAUUGUCUAUAUUUAUCUGAGCCUCUGAAGAGCUGGUUAGGAUCUGCUCUGUUACUAUGGGGUUCUGUUGUGCAGUGCAUUUCAUUGUAUCAUUGGUUACUUACUGUAUUGAUGCCUUUUCUUUGGAUGUCAACUGCCUUGCUAAAGCUGGAACUACCCUAAAAUGGUUCAUAUGUAAGUUUCAACAGAAGAGAGAAAAACUUAUAUCUUAUUCAUUUAGGUCCUGAUCCAGCAAAGCACUUCAGUACAUGAGAAAUCCCACUGAAGUGAGAGAACCUACUUGUGUACUUAAAGUACACAUGAUUAUUAAUAAAGUGUCUUGCUCCUUAAUCUUUGAUAAUACAUUUAAUGUCAGUGGUAUAAUCUAGACAACAGUGUAAAACCAUUUAAUAAAACUCUAUGUUUUAACAAAGGGCUUAUUUGUCUUGUUUUUUUUUUAUCAUUCAAACGUGUACUAUGCUGGUUUUUGGUCAUUCAGCUUUUUGACGUAUACAUAGACUAGUUUAUAGGAGGUAAAUCCAGGUACCACUGCCUAUAGCUAAUGUUUCCCAGCACUUUCAGGGCAAGACCUGCUUAUAGUUCUUUACAGUUUUUUCAGACUUUCACCAUUAGCCUUGAAUUUUCAUGCCAGUAUCUUACUCGGGCUGCAUUUUUGUGGGAAAUUUCAGUUAAAAACGUUUAGCCGCUUCAAAGGAGAAAGAAGAGGGAUAGCUUUAUUUGCCCAUGUUUAUAAAGUUUCUAUGACCAUGUAAUGGAGAUUUUGGAACAGGGGCUUGACAUUUGGCAGGGAAAGACUUUCCCUGAAGUCAAGUAUGUGUUUUUUGCCAUUGCUGUGAAAAUUUGCCUAAAUCAUAGUCUUCAGAAAAACCUCAGUUUGCACAUGUUUGGAAAAUAUUUUGGCAGUUAAUGGAGAAGAAGCAGGAACUGGGUAUGGGGGAUAGGAGCAGAAAGGGUAGGGAAAGACUUGGGGAAAAUAGGCAAGGGCAGGUAGGUUGGUACCCACUAGUGCCCAGUGUCCUACUAAAAAUGGUAAGUGCUCAGAAGAAACACAUCACUUUAACAAUAUUAAGUAUAAAGAUGUAGGUAGGUGUUAAAAUGCCAUCAUCUUAAACUGAAGGCUAUAUCAUAGGUACAAAGUAGAUGGAACAAAUUAAGGAUCUGCAAUAAUUUUAGCUUUAGCAUUUGUUAACUUUUGAGUGUUUGACAUUGUAGCCAUAAUGUUCUUUUAAUGUAUUCCUUUUGAUAUUUUCCAUAUAUCGUCCUCUAGCUUCUGAUAAAUAUUAAGUUAUGUUUAGCAUAUUUGCCUUAUUAUCAUUGUCCAAAUCUAUAACCACCAUUGUGCUGACAUCUGGGAAAUGAAGCAGUUCAGAACAUGCAGUACUAACAAAUAAAAACCGUUGAUAAGUUAACUGUGCAUGUCCUAACAAUUCACUGGCUACACAGUUAAUAUUAGUAUAGGUUGGGGAAAUCAUUUGACCAUGAAUAUGCAUGUUUUUAUAGCAGGUGCUGGGGUACCACCAGAUACAGUUAAAGAGCACUUCGACUAGAGAAAGUGAUUUUUUUCUUUUUCUUUUAUUUUGGAAGUGGCGUUGAAAGGCCCUUGUCUGUCUUCAAAGAGCACCUGGUUGCUCUCAAGUAUAUUUGCCCACCUGCUCCUACUUUUCUGUGUGGUAAACCUGGAAAUGAGAUGGUAAAGCUACCCUGGAGUUGCCACCCUCUGCUGCUUUCAAGCACACCUGAGAGAGCUAUCCUGAGAAAAGCAACAAGGAGGCCCCUUGGAGCAGCUCCAACACAUAUUUAGGUUUGGCACAUGCAAGUGGGAGCAAUGAGGGGUGCUCACCAGCAAGUGCUAUUCAAGAGCAGUGCUCACCAGGAAGACGGCGAUGCACUGUUGACACGGUGCCUCAAUACAAGACAUGCUGACAGAGAUUAAAAACACUGCAACAGCAAAAAGAUAAACUGACACAAAUAAGGAUUAAGUGAUUUGUCUGAGGUCAAACAAAGUCCACAGGAGAGCUGGCAAAUGAAUACUGAUUUCCUGAGUC